rnacentral:misc_RNA from 1 species
GUACAAUUGAACGAUAUCCUCAGCAGUGGGAGGGGGCACAAUAUCAUGGCCAGAAACCCUGAAUUCGUCAUCCCGCUGCUUUAGCUGAGCUCUAAACCGGUGAGCUAUAGAAGGGGGAGGCUUUUGUGGCAACUCAUUGGGCAUAGUCCUGCCGCUGGUGGUGGGGAGUUGGCGGUCGGAUGGAUAUGCUGAAUUUCUAGGGUUUCCUCGUGAAAUUAAGAGCUUUUCCGAUUCCAUGAAAGGGGUCAUGAAAUGCAAAGUGUAUCGAUUGAGUUCAGAAUUUUAUCCCGCCAAGGAGGGAAGAGAACUGAAUUAGGGUUUCUUCCCACCAUAGAAGAAGCUUCCGUCCGCUG